rfam:Sphaerobolus stellatus SS14 unplaced genomic scaffold SPHSTscaffold_247, whole genome shotgun sequence.
AGCCGCCUGGCGAAAUGGAUCGCGUCUGACUACGAUAUGUAGUGAAAUCAGGAGACUGCAGGUUCGACCCCUGCGGUGGUCA